GGGCCGGUAGUUCAGCCUGGAAGAAUACCUGACUUGCACUCAGGGGGUCCAGGGUUCAAAUCCCUGCCGGUCCACCA
rnacentral:tRNA from 1 species